CGGUGUUUAACUGGCGUGAUGUGGGACGUCCUACCGGUGGGCUUAGCCUCGCGAGGGGCGGCCCAACUAAUAUCCCGUCGCGGUGCUCUUUACUGAGUGUCGAGUCGGGCCGGUACGUUUACUUUGAACAAAUUAGAGUGCUUAAAGCAGGCUAUCCUCGCCUGAAUACUGCGUGCAUGGAAUAAUGGAAUAGGACCUCGGUUCUAUUUUGUUGGUUUUCGGAACCCCGAGGUAAUGAUUAAUAGGGACAGAUGGGGGCAUUCGUAUUGCGACGUUAGAGGUGAAAUUCUUGGAUCGUCGCAAGACGGACAGAAGCGAAAGCAUUUGCCAAAAAUGUUUUCAUUAAUCAAGAACGAAAGUUAGAGGUUCGAAGGCGAUCAGAUACCGCCCUAGUUCUAACCAUAAACGAUGCCAGCUAGCGAUCCGCCGAAGUUCCUCCGAUGACUCGGCGGGCAGCUUCCGGGAAACCAAAGCUUUUGGGUUCCGGGGGAAGUAUGGUUGCAAAGCUGAAACUUAAAGGAACUGACGGAAGGGCACCACCAGGAGUGGAGCCUGCGGCUUAAUUUGACUCAACACGGGAAACCUCACCAGGCCCAGACACCGGAAGGAUUGACAGAUUGAUAGCUCUUUCUUGAUUCGGUGGGUGGUGGUGCAUGGCCGUUCUUAGUUGGUGGAGCGAUUUGUCUGGUUAAUUCCGAUAACGAACGAGACUCUAGCCUGCUAAAUAGGCGUACCUUAUGGUAUCGCGAAGGCCCCCGGCUUCGGCCGGUGGGUUUUUACUACCAACGUACAAACAAAUCUUCUUAGAGGGACAGGCGG
rnacentral:rRNA from 1 species